ensembl:rRNA 5S_rRNA 5S ribosomal RNA
GUCUAUGGCUUUACCAUGCUGAAUGUUCCUGAUCUCGGAAGCUAAGCAGGGUCGAUCUGGUUAGGUAGUACUUGGAUAGGAGAAGAGAUAACCAGCUGAGACUUCAGUAACUAGCUAACAGGCUGCUUCAGACU